CCAUUUUAUUUCAGCGCCGAACCAUUCGUCAAAAGCCAAACCAUUCGUCGCUGAACGCCAACCCAUUCUCAACGAUUCAACCUCCAUUCUCAACGAUUCAAACUCCAUUCUCGACGAUUCAAACUCCAUUCUUAAUGGUUCUCGACCCAUUCUCGACGGUUUGAAGUGUUGUUUCAGCUCCUGACCCAUUCUCGACGAUCCAAACUCCAUUCUCAACGGUUCUCGACGAUUCAAGACGGUUUUGAAGUGUUGUUUCAGCUCUCGACCCAUUUUCGACGAUUCUCGACGGUUUUGAAGUGUUAUUUCAACUGAUUCGUCACCGAUUCUCGACGAUUUGAACCCAUUCAUCGCCGAUUUGAAACCAUUCGUCACCGAUUUGGACCCAUUCGCAACAGUUUUGAAGUUUUAUUUUAGCUCCCACCGUCGCCGAUUCGAACCCAUUCUUGACCAUUCUCGACGAUUCGAACCCAUUCGACGCCGUUUUGGACCCUUCGCGACGAAUUCUUCACCACCGAUUUGGACCAUUCGCGAUGAUCUGGAUCCGGAGAGAUGAUGCUUGGUUUGCAGCUCUUGGAAGAUCUUGCAUCCAUAUGACAUGGAGUGACCGGGGUGCUAUAUAUCUUGAGAUUUCUUAUUGGUGGCUUUAGGGGAUUUACUUUUGGCAUUAUUUGAAGACAUAUGGAGACAUCUUCCGUUGAUUCUAAUUAUAUUAUGCUACAUUUUUUGUAUUGUUAUAAAACAUCUUAAGUUAUCGUAUGUGUUGCAAACAAUUAUUGUAUGGAAGGAGUUUGAAUUAGAUACUUAUUUUAAUUUUAACUUGUGGAAUGUAUAGAUCGAUUUUUUAUAAAUGUGUUGUUGAAAUAAAUGUGUUAAUCAAAUGUAAGAUUUUAAUAAUGUAA